CCCCCCUCAGUGCCUGUCACCCAGUCACCCCCACCCCUUGCCCACCUCCCCUUCCACCACCCCUAGUUCGUUUCCCAGAGUUACGAGUCUCUCAUGUUCUGUCUCCCUUUCUGAUAUUUCCUACUCAUUUUUUCUUUUACUGUUCUUGUUGUCUUGCUGCAGCUCACAUGCUGCAAAGUGGUGAGGACGAAGAACCAUUCCAAGUGGGGAACAUGAGGGGCACCCCAAACCUCCGUUUGUAUUAAUUUCCUAGGGCCAAUGUAACAAAGAAUCAUAAACCAGAGGGCUUAAGACAAUGGAGACUUAGGCCGUCACAGUUCAGGAGGUUACAAGUCUGAAAUCAAAGUGUCUGAAGACUGGAGAAAAAUCCUUCCUUGCUUCUCCCUGGCUUGUAGUUGCCAGCAAUGUCGCUUUCUGUCUCUUAUAAGGAUACUGUCACUGGAUUUAAGGCCCACCCGAAUCCAGUAUGAUCUUAUUUCAAUCCUUCCCUUGAUUGCAUCUACAAAGAUCCUAUUUUCAAAUAAGGUCAAAUUCUGAGGUUUUGGACGGACGUGAAUUUCUGAGAGACCCUAUCCAACCACUAUGUUACUUAUUCUGAAACAUCAGCUAAUAACUGGACAUUAAACCUAAAGCAUUCUAUAAAACUGAAGAAAUCCUUUUUUUUUUUCUGUUUACAAAUCCCUGUGAGGGUCUAUUGCAAACCCAAAUUCUGAAGUUCAAACUCCCUAGCAAAAAGGCUAGAAGAUUAUAUUAAACACUCAAUAAAGUUUUAAGAGAAUAAUAUAUUUUUAGUGUGUUUUUCUACACCAGGCAUUGUAUUCGGUGAUUUACUUGGGCUGUUUCAUUAAAUCCUUUCAAAAGCCCCACAGGGCCUACACCAUCAUUGUUCCCAUCUUAUAAGGGAGGAAAUAGGUUCAGUGAACCUGAGCAACCGGGCCAGCCUGACACUGCCAACCUCCUCAUCUCCAUAUUGGCUGCAGGACUCCAGAACUUUGUGGUCUCCCUGGAAGCUGCAGAGAAGAACUGGAACCACUGGAUGUUGAAAAUGUUGAACCUCCUCCUGGGAUAUAGAUCCCCUGAACACACACGUCACAACCACCCCUCUGGGUGUCCAAGUCAGACAUCACGGAGUCAUCCUGCUGCAAGGAGGAAUUGGUGCUUCCAGGGAAAACUGUGCAUUGUCUAGAGGACACAGCUCUGAGUACUCCGACUGCAUGCGGCCUGCUGUACAAGCCUGUACAUCGUACGUAACAGAGGCAGAUAAUUCUUAGCUGUAGACGUGCAGAUCCCGCUCUAUCUUGUAGAGGUCGGCUGAAUUCUCUUCACUGGGGAAGAAGCUAGUUUUGCUACCAUUUGGGCAUUCAUUUCAAUAUUCCUCAUCUAUAAAUGUGUCUAUUUUUCAAUUUCUCCCUGGAACCACUUAUAACAUCUGCCUGGCUUCUUCUUUACGAGUAAAAUAAAAUCUUUAACAUGUGUUCA
rnacentral:lncRNA from 12 species